UAGAAUCCCACCACCAUUUCAAAACAUCUGAGCCAAAAGCAUCUGUUUCCCUUUGAGUGGAAGAGCACAAUGGCAGUGGAGACGCUUCCAACAGACCAGUCUUCUAGCCAUGGAAACAGGAUGGAAUUUAAACUAACACACGUUUUUGAGGGUGGACAAAUCCCGAUUACCCGUCUGAAGGGUGUGCCAUAGAGAAGUUCCGUUUGCAGGGUCGCGGGUGUGCUGGAGCCUAUCCCAGCUAUCUUCGGGCGAAAGACCCUGAAAUGGACGCCAAUCGCAG